rnacentral:misc_RNA from 1 species
AAAAAAAGUAUCAAAACAAAUUCGAUGAAGCACAAACUGUACACAGUCCUAACCAUAAAUCUGUCCUUUGUGUUUCAUAGACUACAACCUUUUAUACAGGAGAAAAAUGUUUCAAUUUGGAAUUGUAAACUAUUAAGUGGAAGUUAACAGUACAAAAAAAAUAUAUAGAUGUACAAAAUAGCUGUUAUUGAACGAAGAGAAAGUAAAAGGCAAAAUGAGAAGGCAUUUGCAGCUUCUGCACAUUUUGUUUGGGUUUCUAUGCCUAGCUGCACAUGAACAACAAACGAUUACUCUAUCCUUCACUCCAUAAUCGGAUACACCUUUAACUAAAACCAACAAUCUGUUCAUCUUCUGCGAAUAUACAACUACAUUUUCACCUAUGUUGAACUGUGCAGCUAAUGAGAGAGGCGUUUAGGAUGCAAAUUUUUCGUUACCAUGCUAUGCAACUGAGAGGGUCCCACAUUAGAUUGGUCCAUUUCUUGUAGACCAUCAUGCGUGUCGAAACAACUGGGAAUAGUCUCUGAUCUGCAAUGUAACUGCCCCAUCCCUUGUAUCCUUUGCUGAGUGAUGAAAUGAGCUUCAUGAAUACUUGCUAUUGCAUUUAAUUGUCCCAGCCUUUGCAUGCUAUGUUCAUUGCUAUAAUAAUCAUCACGGCUAGAAGCUAUGGAGUUUAACUGUCCCAUUCCCUGCACAAUUUGUUGAGGACCAAAAUAUCCAUCAAGGUUUGGAGCCCUUGAGUUUAGCUGUUCCAGUUGCUGCCAGCUUUCAUGCAUCCCAACGCUCAUGACAUCUGGCUCUGAAUGUACCUGUUUUUUCCUGGAAAUACUAUCCUUUUUAUUUGUCUUGGAUACACCAGUGGCAUGAUUCGCUUCUUCAUAGUCAUGAGGUCUGCCCGGAGAUGGUGAGUUUGGCUCUAUUACACAAUGAAUAGAAUUAUUCACAUUCUCACACUUUCUCAAUGCAUCUUCUAGUGCAGAAAAUGCAAUAUUGUAACUUUCUAAAGAUAAAGAACCUUCAUCACCCAAUUUAAAGGCCCGUCUACAUAGAUCAUUGUAGCGUUGAACCCUGGACUCAACCUUACCUGACUGUUCCCUACUGGUUUCUCUACUCUUCGCAUCCUUUGUCCAGCGUUUCAAAAUAUAUUGAGAUGGAAUACUGUGCACACCAGACAUUUGCAUCACAAUCAACACAUGUCUACAAAGGAAACCAUUGAACUCAAAUGAACGGCAUGAACAAGAAAAAUAAGAUGAUGUCCCCUUCCACACCACAAUGAAAUCUUCAUUCUCUUCAAAAUCUUGAACCUUGAAAGUUUUAGUUUCUCCAUCUUCAUUGUCCUUUCUAGGAUGACAAGCAACUACUCCCAAAACCUCAACCUGGAAUUUCUUAAAUAUUGCAUGUGUGUACAACGUUGCCAUUUGCUUCCCAAAAGGUGAUGGAGAUUUCAAUCCUGGUUGUUUAUGCCAACUUUCAAAGUCUGCUUUUGCUUCCUCUUCAAAUUUCCCUUGAAGAAUUGCUUUGUAUUGUUCUAAGAACUCUUUCAAUGUGGUCUUUCUUUGCAUGUGCUUGUCAAAGAAAGAGCUUAUACUGUCUGACCGUUGGGUUGUAGACAUACCUGCCAAAAAUUUGUCUCUCAUGUACAUCGGCAUCCAUUUUUGACGAUCUUCAUAUAAUGACUGAAACCAUAAAUCAUUUCUUAAAUUAAAUCUCUCAGCCAUUUUCCACCAUCUCUUCUCAAAUUGUUCAUUUGUCCAAGACUUAAAGAUACAUUUAUUAAAUUUAGUCAUGAAAUUUUCAUGCUGCCUUAUUACAUUACCAAGCUUCUCAGGAAUCUUGCUCAACAAAUGCCACAAGCAAAAACAAUGAUGAGAAUUAGGAAAGACCUCUGCAAUGGCUUGUUCCAGGGAUUUGUCUUGGUCAGUAAGUAUCACCCUUGGAGCAAGUCCUCCCAUUGCUCUAAGCCAUGCCCGCAUCAACCAAACAUAUGUUGAUUUGGUCUCAUCAGCCACUAACGCACAUCCAAGCAACAGACACUGGAAAUGAUGGUUUACACCAAUAAAGGGAGCAAAUGGAAGUUUGUAUUCGCUCUUAAUAUAUGUGGUGUCAAAAAUAAUAACAUCAUCAAAGUAGCCAUAAUCAAGCCUAGCUUUAGCGUCAACCCAAAAAACAUUUCUCAAACACUGUUCUUCAUUCAGAUCUAUUGCAUAGAAGAAGUUUGGAUUCUCAUCCUGCAUAUACCUAAAAUGCUCAAGCAUAACCUGAGCAUCUCCCUCAUCUAAAGCCAAAUGUUGUGUGCUGCCUGAUAUGUUUGUCAAACUACGCUUCUGAUUCUCUUGUUUCUUAUAUCCACCUGAUUGUCUAGACAUUGAAACAUACACUUUUUUGGUUCUUGCCCUAAUAGCAUGCAAUGCAUCAACAUUAUUACUACCUAGGCCUAUAUUCCUAUGACCACGAAAAAAAUAUGCCUGGUCUGGGUAAAUUGCAUGGUUGUGCUCCUUAAUGAAACUACGAACAACCCAUUUUCCAUCAUGCUGCCUCCUCUUUACAUGCAUGCAAGCUUUGCAAUCUGUUUUUGACCAAGAUCGAUUUAUUCUACCUCGUUUCCUCUUGACAGGAAUGCUUGUUGCGACAUCUGUAUCCAUAACUGGAUGUGCCAUUUCAGUCAUACUAGGUUCUCUCUUGGUUCCAUAUCUGGUGCACACAAACUUUGCAUCAAUAAAUUUUCCAGAUAUCCUUGAUCUACGGCUGGCUUUUAUUAUGGUGGCAAAUCCCACAGACUUGGCAUACUCUUUAUAGAAUGAAAAAGCUUCCUCCUUCGAUUCAAAUUCCAUUCCAUCAUGGGGCUCUAAAUCCUUUGCAGCAUUCAAGUUUAUUCCAUCUCCAACAUACACUUUGUGUGUACCAUCAAAAACUCUUCCACUGACAGUUGGUCUGUCCUUAUCAGUCCCAGCAACGUUACAGCAAUCCACAGCAACUCUAUUUCUGUCAUGCAAUCCACUAUCCACCAUAUCAGCAGUUACAUUAGGCCUACUGUCUUCCUUGUGACAUUCACCUGAAGGCUGUUCAAGAUCUAUGCCCAUGGAGAACAUUUAUUUUUUAAACAAGACUUAAUGCAUGUGUCCCCAAGUCACAACGUGAACAGAGAAGUUGGUGUUCGAAACCAGGAACAUGCCGAAUAACUGGUGAUGAAGGAAUUGGUAGAUUUGAACGAUUGUGAGUACCGGGUCACGUUGAAACAGCAGCAACUCUGUGCCGUUGAAGAAGAUGAAACGAACCUUGCUGAAGACGAAGGGCGUAAGGAAGCUUGUGUGUCACAGAGGAGGCGCUGAAGAUGGGUUUUGUGGGUAUGCGUCGGUGUGAGCUGGGUGUGGCGCUGCGUUUUGGAGGAGAUAGCUUCGUAAGGGAGGGCAGAGGAGCUGUGCCGUUGAGUGUCGGCUUUCGUGGGGUUAGGUGCUGCGUUUUGGUGCGGUAGAUGGUGUCG